AAAUGUCAAUUCCACAAAUUUUGGUGGAAUUGAGAUUUCUAAAAUUUAUGCUUAAAAUGAGUAUUCCGAAUCCCAUGGAAAUCUCAAUUCCAACAUAAAUGCCAAUUCUAAACGAACCAAACACUAUUGGCCUAAAUUUUCCAAGAAAAGUAACUCCUACAAAUCUGAAUCCAAGGAACCAAACGAGCCCUAAUGUCAAAUUUCUUCCUAUAAUAGAAUCAUUUCGGAUUUUAAGUAAUUAUUUCAAGUUCUUAUGUAAUUUACUCAUUUAAAAAAAAAAGAGUUAAAGCGGUUUCUUUCGAACAUGAUUUUUUGUUUUUUUAGUUGCUUGAUUGGCAAGUGUGUUAGGUCCAAUCAAGGUGAUCAGUUUGAAAAAUCAAGUGAUUGUCAUGUAUUCUGCUUUGUAUAUGAAGCAAGCAAAAAAACAGGAAGUCAAUCUGGUCUGGCUCUUGGGUAGAGUGAGGGAGGGCAUGGCAUCAAGAGAGAUGAAGGAUAGGGUGGUGGUUCUUUACCCAUCUCCGGCCAUCCGCCACCUUCUGUCCAUGGUGGAGCUGGCGAAGCUCAUUCUUCAUCACUCCCCCAAGCUCUACAUCACCAUUCUCAAUGUCAAUCCUCCGUUUGAUGUAGGCAAUACUGCCCCUUACAUCGGUCGAAUCUCCUCUGAAUUCCCGGCCAUCGCUUUCCUCGAGCUCGAGCCCCCUGAGUUUUCUGUCGAUGAUUCUGCCCACCUAGAGACUCUCAUCUUCGAAUACAUCCAUCUCGCUAAUAAUCCUAGGGUCUCUGAAGCCCUCAAGUCCAUAACUGAGCACUCUACUGUCGUGGCUUUCGUCAUGGACCUUUUCUGUGCCACCGCUCUCGACAGAGCCAAAGACAUGCACAUCCCCACCUACCUCUUUUUCACAUCCAGUGCUGCCGAUCUCGUCGUCUUCCUCUACCUUCCCAUCCUCCACUUCCAAAUUCCCAUCAGAUUCCGUGACCAGAAGGAGCUCCUUCAAGUCCCAGGCCUCUCCCCUGUCAAGAAUGCCUGUGACCUUGCUCGACCGCCACGAUAAAGCGUAUGACUGGUUCAUCAAAUCCUGUCGUCAAUCAACUCUAAUGCAAGGAAUACUGGUAAAUUAUUUUGAUGCACUAGAGCCACCUCGUGUCCUUGAGGCCCUUGCCUCCGGUGAGUGCACACCUGAUGUUCCCACCCCACCAGUCUACUGUCUUGGUCCUCUCCUCCUCACUCCGGCUGGUGGAAAUAGAUACUCCAGCUGCUGUAUGGAGUCGCUGGAUGCACAGCCAGCCGGCAGUGUGGUGUACUUAUGCUUUGGGAGCCAAGGGACCUUCUCAACUGCUCAAAUAAAGGAGAUUGCGACCGGGCUCGAAAACAGCAGGCAGAGGUUCCUUUGGGUAAUACACAGUACUCAGCACAUGCUAGAACCAGACAUUAAUGGGCUCUUACCAGAGGGGUUUUCGGGGCGGACCUCCUGGUUGGGGAUGGUGGUGAAGUCAUGGGCGCCUCAGGUGGCAGUGCUAAACCACGGGGCCGUGGGGCGGUUUGUCACGCACCGCAGGUGGAACUCCAUGCUGGAGAGUGUGUGCGCGGGGGGCAUGGCCCCUCUAUGCAGAGCAACAUUUGAACGCGCUGUUUUUGGUGGAAGAGAUGGGACUGGCAAUGGUGAUGGUGGUAGGGGAAGAUGGCUUUGUCGAUGUAGGUGCAGUGGCUCCAAGCGUGAAGGGGGUGAUGGAAUCAGAAGAGGGGAAGAUGUUAAAGGGACAAGAUGAAGGCCCUCAAGCAGAGCGCUGCCUCAGCUCUGAGUGAGGGCGGUACAUCGCGCCUCAGUUUCGAAACCGUGGUCACAGCAUGGCUCGGAGCAGGAGCAGUGCAGCCUUGAAUAUCGACUGCAAUGAUAAAGUGAACUCCUCUUCUUCAUCGCUCAUCCAAUCACCAUUAUAUUAUCUGGUUGAUUUAUGGCUUUGGAAGCUUAAGAGUACCGUGGCUUAUCCGCUUAAUUUAGAGAAGGGGAAGUA